GCUGCCAUAUUUGGAUUUAUGACAUUCAAAAGGGGAUCCUACGGCAUAGAGUAAACUGCAUGCUCAUUUUUCUACAAUACUUUGAUUCUUCUACUGGACGCAAGAUGGAGUUAGCAGUCAAAUUUCGAUCUUGGCGUUAUAAAAGUAAACCGCAAGAACAUGACAUGCAGUUGCGUGGGUGUAGAUCUAUCAUGAAACGAACAUGUGACAAUUGUCUAUGAUUAAAAAAAUAAUUGACAAAUAAUAAUAUAAAGCGAUACAAUACUACUUCAAAAUGGCAAAAAGAAAACAGAUUUAUUAUAAACAUACUUACAAAUCAUAUAGGUAAAAAGUAUAAUUUUUAAACCAAUGGUCGUGGGUCCUAACCCCGGCUAUUAACAAUGACUUUGUUGUAACUAUCUUAACCAAUUGCUUUUCUGUGAAGUAAAAUAAUUAUCAUGAGGAAGAUGGAGUAGCCACAAUAAGGUAUAUAUUUUUCCCCUCUGGGUUAGAUGGCAGGGAGAGAUAGUGGAGAAAGCGGCAAAAUAAGCAUUUAUUGUGUUGUUAAAAGCCCUAAGCCAUGAGCCAGGGUAUGUGAGGUGCAUGAUUACUUGAUUAGGGGCUAAACUCUGGAAAACCGGACCUUCGGCGACUAGCUGCCAACUUUCCCAACUCACUUUUACAUCAGCUCCUUUGAUUAAUAAAUUCAGGUAAAAUUCGUAAGAACUAAGUGCCUGUGCCAUUCUCUACAUUGGACGCUAUGCCUAAUUAGUUGUUAUUGAUGUUGAAUUUUCAGUGGCAUAUAAGACACCGGUCGUAUAACGACUUAGAAAUUUGGAUGUUUUCAGUUUGAAUGAAUAGCAAACUGGAGAGUUUUUGAUUAAUUUAAAACUUAUUAUUUUAGGUAUUUUGUGACGAAAGGUCUUCACAGACAUCGACAGAAAAUCGGGAAAGCCCGGCCAGAUGCGUCAGACCACGCAAAAUGGAGGAUUCCAUGCCUACUUGUCUUCUUCUACCAUGUAUAGGAACGCAUGAAAAACGAAAGUUUAAAAGAUAAUAAAUUUACGAUGGCUGUGGGAAAGCAACAAUAAUUUAAAGCAUCGAUAUAAGAUAAUCAUCUAUAAACUGUUUUCGGCCAUAGCGAAUACGUUUACCGCUAAGAAUGUCUCAAAGUAAAAAAAAGAAGUUCAAUAUACUGGCAUUGGUUUCACCAAGAACGAUGAGCGAGAAGCGAUUAGAAAUAUAAAACUGGAAACGAGUUGGGGCGUCCGGCUGCGACCGAAGCGAGUUUUUGAAUGCGAGUUUGACGUUUUAAACACCGUAUUUAAGGUUAAUAAGGUCUACAAGCUUCGAGAAGGAGGUCAACCGCCGAAUCCAACUUGGUUGGGCAGCGUUCGGGAAACUACGUAAUGUCUUUUCGUCCGACAUACCUCAGUGCCUCAAGACGAAAGUCUUUAAUCAAUGUGUGUUACCAGUGAUGACUUACGGCUCCGAAACGUGGUCUUUCACUAUCGGCCCCAUCUCAAAAUUCAAAGUCGCUCAACGAGCUAUGGAGAGGGCUAUGCUCGGAGUUUCUCUGCGUGAUCGAAUCAGAAAUGAGGAGAUCCGUAGACGAACUAAAGUCACCGACAUAGCCCACCGGAUUAGCAGGCUGAA